GACGAACGUUGGCGGCGUGCCUAAUACAUGCAAGUCAACUGAAAUACCGGUAGCAAUACUGGUAUGGAGGUGGCGCACGGGUGAGUAACACGUAGGUAAUCUGCCUUCAGGUCUGACAUAACCCAUCGAAAGGUGAGCUAAUAUCAGAUGAUGCAGCGGCUUGACAUCAAGACAGUUGUUAAAGCUUCGGCGCCUGAAGAUGAGCCUGCGUCUGAUUAGCUAGUUGGCGGGGUAACGGCCCACCAAGGCUGCGAUCAGUAGCUGGUCUGAGAGGAUGAUCAGUCACACUGGAACUGAGACACGGUCCAGACUCCUACGGGAGGCAGCAGUAAGGAAUAUUGCUCAAUGGCCGAAAGGCUGAAGCAGCAACGCCGCGUGAGGGAUGAA
rnacentral:rRNA from 1 species